rnacentral:miRNA from 2 species
AGGCUGCAGGCCCACUUCCCU